rfam:Lupinus angustifolius cultivar Tanjil chromosome LG04, whole genome shotgun sequence.
AAAUGUUUAGGAAUAAUAUUCCAAGCAUUCCUGGAAAGCGAGAGCUCAAAAAAUAUGGUACACACUCAUUUUAUAAUUUUUGGGAAUUAUGUAAUGCUCGCCGCUUAGAAAAAUUACGAAAACUUAUCGGCUUGGAGAAAAUCGUGAAACUUCAUGGACCAAUGGCUCCCGUUCUUAUAAGCACGUGUGCAAAAAAUCAGGGUAAAAUUCAACAUCUAGCCUCAAAAAACCCAGUUUGUCUUCCCAGAGAAAAGGAUGUCCGAUGGUGCAGAGUGGGUUUUUGCAUAUUAGCCUACUAUAGGGGCGCAGCUGCUUGCCUGCCCAUCCACCUUGGUGGGUCAGGAUGGCUUGCCGUGGGGCUCCUCCCAACGCCCCAACAAGAUUCCCCAAGCAUACUGGUGCGUUUGUCCAUGGCAUUUGCCAAGGAUGUUUUCAUUAAUCAAGAACAAAAGUUGGGGGCUCGAAGACGAUAAGAUACCAUCCUUGUCUCAACCAUACACGAUGCCAACCAGGGAUCAACGGAUAAUGCUUUUAGGACUCCACUGACAUUUUAUGAGAAAUCAUAGUCAUUGGGUU